rnacentral:lncRNA from 1 species
AAAAGAAUGAAGGCCUAAAGAUGAACAAGAGAAGGGUUAUUAAGUAAUUCAAGCAGAAUAAGCUCCUGCUAAUAGCAUCAGCUUACAGUAGAACCACCCGAACUGGAACAGAUCCUGACAGAUAUAUUGAAGAUGAGCACUGUCCACAGACUGACGUACUCAAGAUAGCAGGGCAAUUCUGUUAGGACCUGCCAUGUCUAAGGUUUGAGCAGCCCACUUCUGCCCUCCACAGAGCUGCAGACAGAACUGUAAUUAAGCAAGCAGAAAUCCUGUUCUUCAGUCUCCACAAAGCAAACUUCUAAUCCAGCUGAAGAUUUUGGAUGAUGCUGUGAAAGGAGUCAGUCAGAAUGGUCCACGUGCACUGUAUUUGAAGAGAGAACUGGGACUUUGCUCUUACCUGCCAGCAGACUGCAGGAACCAGGAACGUGUUGUGUGGUUCGUGUAGGUCCUGGACACCGAGUUUUAGGGUCUCUUCAUCUUCCUGAUAUAUGGGG